ACCUCUCGCCCAAGCCCCCGUCCCCGAAAUUCCCAAAGCCCUUGUGGACGACAAAGGAGCCAUGAAGUCGGACGGUAUCUCGCUGGAGAAGGCAUCGACGGGACCAGUGGUGUGUGAAGAAGAAUAGGAGUUCGUGGUACUUUGUUAAAUCCGUCCAAUCCCCUCCGGGGUUUUAGGCAAAACGGAGGAGAAGCGGGAUUAACAUUCUUCAGGAUUUAAAGUUGUAUUUUGGCUGUUUAGCAGGAUUUGCGUUAAAUCCUUCUUAAAUACUGCUCAAAUUCCGCUACAAAACUGUUCCCAGGUAUAGGAUGAAUUUGCAGAUCAUAGCAGCCAUUGCUUUGCGGCUCAUUGGCGGCUUCAUCACGUUGGCAGGACACUCCAAAUAAUCAGGACAAAGCAGCAUAAUCGUGACUGCUGCACUUCAAUCAUGUGAUGCAUUGAAUUGGCUGUCCCAAAAUUCCUGAGUCCAAGAGUUUUAGGAUAAAGAGCUUUUGUUUGGUCGUUUUCUUCAAUCAGAGGAAUGAAAGCUCUCGAGGCAGCCAAGCUGUGGAGUUGCUUCUCUCUCUCUCUCUAUCUCUUUUGGAAGAACGGAGUCUUAAAGGAAAAGGAGAGAAAGUCUUUGGCAUAUUUUAAAGGAGAAAGCAGUACUAAACUUUGCCCAACUUUAUUGGGAAGGGGAGUCUCUCUUUAGUAUAUUUUCACUAAGAUAGGCAAUAAGCUUUGAAUACUAAUCAAAGCCAAAUUUCCAGGCCAAAAGUGCUAUAUGCUGCAAGAAGGGGAAAGAUGCGGCAACCAUCUAGAAAUGGGCAAAGCGAACUCUUUACCAAUUUCUGCUGUGAAGGUAAUAGCAAUGAUUUCGGCUCUCAGUAGGAAUUUCUUUUCUUCUGUUUGCACCAAGAUAGUCUGUUGAUGCAGUUAUGUGCUCUCUGCCCUUUUUAUCCUCUUAUAAGCAAAACUUCAUCAUACAAAUGAUUACCAAUUUCCAUUCAAUUCCUGUUUCUGUUGUAUCCCUGUAACUUCCAAUGGUAAUUUUUUGCCAUUCCCAUAUUCUCUCUCUCUCUCUCUCUCUCUCUCUCUCUCUCUCUCUAAAAUCCUGCAGCUUGUCUGUGUUUAGGCUUUGUUUAGUAAAUAUUUAUCAGUCUUGUUUCUCAACAACCUAACAUAACAUAUUGUUUAUGAAAAAAGCCAUAUUUGUACGCGCAUGACUGCACAAUAAUGUGUAAAAAACUUACAAAGUAUGUUAUUCAUCUUUGGGAGAGUAACAUGUUGUAAUUUUUAUGGAACAACACAAUACAUCAUAGGAUUGACGAAUGACAUUUAUAUGAA